rnacentral:lncRNA from 1 species
CACAGUUUCAAAUUAGUACUGCCAGUAUUAUAGGAAGGCAAUUACCACACCAUCCAGCUCCAUUCACCCAUCUUUCCUAAUCUCAUCCUCUUUUCUUACCCGUCAAUCUGUUUGCUCUUUCUUACCUGUCAAUCAGUUUUCUGCAAGGUGUACAAAGCCCUCCCCCAGUUAGACCAUGAGCAAUUUAUGAGAAUAAUGUCUCCAUCAUAAUUUGAUGUCCUUUUUUACUCCAGAUGGGAUUCUCUCCACUCUGAUCUUUAAACUCGAUACUUUACUGUACAGCAGAAAUUGGCACAACAUUGUAAAUCAACUAAAAUUAAAAAAAAAAAAAAAAACCCAAAAUGGAUCCUUUUAGACUCAAACAAUGUCUGCAGUGGUGGCGUCCUCACCUUCAUGCAGGGUGGCAGGGCGACUAGUGUCCCAGCUCUCAUGCAUUCUGGCUACCUACCAUGCUUUAGAUGUCACGACACACACAUUGUCAUGAACUUUUUUUGUCCUCACCCAAAGUGUGAAAUACUUUUGUGUUAAGAGGGAGAACUGUGACACCAUUUUAGAGAUGAAAGGACUGAAAUUUGACCUGAAACUCUGUCAACAUCUGAGUCCUACAUGGAGUCCGAUAUUUUGCAAACAGCCCACCAAAGAUCUCAGAACAUACAAGUUUCAUUAACACUCAUGCCAGUUUCCAAAUAUGGGUGAAAAGGAAAAGUCAAUGAUAUUCCCAUUUAAGAAUUCCAUGAACUCAGCAGCGGGGCUCUUCCAGACCAUCUGCGUGUGGCCAAAACGACUGCGCAUUCAAAGCCAAGAGCUGCCCUGGAAUGCCUCUGCAGAGCAGAGAGAAGAAAUGCAAAGUUUAAUUAAAAAGAGCUCCUAAAGAGCGCCAAGCUCAACCUCUCUUUUAAUUAAACUGUAGACAUUUUGGAGGAUUGAAGAGUCAAGUGUUCUAGCUUAUUUCUCAGGCACCCUUUGUCUGAUCUUGGACUCUGCCCACAAAGUCCAAAGCCAGUCAGAUGGUGGAUGUCUUGUUUCUCCCCAAGGGCACUGCUUGGUGCUCUGCAACUGCAUCGGCUAGUCCUCUCCCAGGCCUUGAAGAGCGGGAGGGGGGUGCCGUUUUCCUCCCCAUUGUCCUCAGUGGGGCUCCUCUCUACACCAUUUGCAUGUCUGGAAAUGGCACCCCACAAUCCAGCCUUAAAAAGUCCCCAAGAGUCAACCUGAGCCAAGAUGAUUCCAGAGAUGCAGGGGGAAGGGUAAUGGUGGAACUUACAAGUCCUUGCUUUUGAUAGGUUUACUUUUCACCAUUGUGAUACAUAGGCAGGUGGUCUCUGAAGAGCUAGGAUAAUCGCUCUGGACUUAGCAGAGACGCAAGGAUCCUUUCCAACCUCUGGGAGCUAGAACCCAGGUGUGAUGUCUGGUGGUGACUUUCUUAUUGUCUUUUUUUUUUCUUCUUCUUUUUAAGGCUGCACUCACGGCAUAUGGAAGGUCCCAGGCUAGGGGUCAAAUUAGAGCUACAGCUGCCAGCCUACACCACAGCCACAGCAAUGCCAGAUCUGAGCCGUGUCUGUCACCUAUACCACAGCUCAUGGCAAUGUUGGAUCCUUAACCCACUGAGCGAGGCCAGGGAUUGAACUCAAGUCCUCAUGGAUACUAGUCAGGUUCAUUACUGCUGAGCCACGACGGGAACUCCAAAAAUCAGAUUUCUAACAGAGAAAAUGAUUUUCCAUACUUUAUAGUCCUAUAAAUAUGGUUCAAGACCCAGCUUGGGCAUGUGCCUGGCUCCCUAACUAAAGCAUUGACUGUUAGACUACCAGAAGGUUGGCAAAUUACUCACUUUAUCACAGUGAGGAAUUACUUGGUUUAACUAUAUCAAUUCGAGUAUAACGAUUGCUUCUAAUAAUAGCUAUUUUCUUUUAAGCUUGCUCUUACCAUGUUGAAUUUGGCUGACCUUGAAAAGGGAAUUUCAUCGAACUGGUAUGAUGCUUCACCCCAAGGAAAGUAACAGUACAGGGCAAACACAAUGGUUUCUCACAUUAGGGGGAGGCAAAUGAAUCCUUUAUCACAAAAAGGGGUUUAAUAUUGACACAUGUUUGAAGCACAGGAGGACUCCCUAGUGAUAAUCACUAACCAUUAAAAAGUUGGGUCUUGAACU